rnacentral:lncRNA from 1 species
AACUAGAUAUAGGAAGAUGUGGUAUGAGUGCCAAUGAGACAACUUGCCAUCCAAAUAACAAUCUAAAAAAGUAAACCAUUAUAGGUCAAUGUACGGCCUUCAACACAGAGCCUUGGCUCACACCGAACAACAAGCUAUAAAGGGCCCCAAAAUUACUAGUGUAAAACCAUUCAAACGGGAAAACCAACGGGCUAAUCUAUAUAAAAAAACGAGAAACGAGAAACACGUAUAAAUUACAUAAACAAACGACAAAUACUGUACAUCAGAUUCCUGACUUACGACAGGUGCAAACAUUUACAGCGGGAUUAAACGUUUUAAUGGUACCAAACCUUCUCCUUUUUUCUGAAACAAUAGCAUAACAUCACAACAUAUUAAAACACACGAUAAAAUAUCA